GACGAACGCUGGCGGCGUGCUUAACACAUGCAAGUCGAACGGAAAGGCGCUGCUUUGGUUUGUUGCUCGAGUGGCGAACGGGUGAGUAACACGUGAGUAACCUGCCCUUGACUUUGGGAUAACUUCAGGAAACGAGGGCUAAUACCGCAUAGGAGCUCCGUCUGCAUUGUCAGGGUGGGAAAAUUUCGGCGGUUCGGGAUGGAAUCGCCGCUUAUCAGAUUCUUGGUGGGGUGGUGGCUGACCACAGCAUUGACGGGUAGCCGGCCUGAGAGGGUGACCGGCACGAUCACGACUGAGCUACGGCACAGCCCCGUACGGGACGGGGCAGUGGGGAAUGUUGUACUACGGGAGGAAGGCAGAUGCAGCACCGCCGCGUGGGGUAUGACGGCAUGCUGGUUGUAAAGUGAUUUCGUGUUUGACGAAGCGUGAGUGACGGUACUGGGUAAAGAAGCACCGGCUAACUACGUG
rnacentral:rRNA from 1 species